rnacentral:tRNA from 2 species
GCCCGAGUAGCUCAGUUGGUAGAGCGACGCUCUCGUAAAGCGUAGGUCAGGAGUUCAAUUCUCCUCUCGGGCUCCA